GAAUCCCCAGGAAUCUUUUGAAAAAAUAAUGAGGAGUUUGAACAUUUAGAGUUUUUUUUUUUUUUUUUUUUUUUUUUCCUGGGCAUAGACCCUGACAUUCAAAUAUACACAUAUUUGCAUUUUAAAUAGAUACAUCUGAAAAAUCUACGGAGCCUACAGCCAGUACCAUUUUUCCUUACACUUAAGUAGAAAUAACAAUUUUAAAAAUACUUAUUUGUAAAUAAGUGCUCUUGCAAACACUAAAACAUCCAUAUUUAAUGCUAUAUUCUUUUCUGCCACCCAGAAAAUCCUGUAUUCCUGGUUGACACUAACAAGUAAAGAUAAUACACUGACACAAAAUUACUUGAAUAAAUCAGGUAUUUUUGAUUAAAACUUAGCAUUAGUCAAAGAGUUAGCUAGCACUUCUUCAAAUAAAACUAAUGUUGAUGCAAUAUUUUUUUCCUUUUUGCUUUCCCACAGCAAGCAUAUGCAAGUACCUGCUGAAAAAGAUGAGAAACUAUUGCUCUGGCAGAAAUAAAUGUAAUUGUAGCAGUCAGCUCAGACUGCUAGUCAUUCUAAUUAAAUGGGUGAAACUUAGCUAAGACGUAUCUUUAAAAUCCAAGAACGUUCACUAUGGAUUUAGUUUGUCCAAAAAAUUAUUUUAUCAGCUUAACAUCUGAUUCAACAUGCUUGGUUGUUAAUGUUCAUAUUGUUAUUUCUUAUCAUUAGAACCACAUUGUAUGAAGUAAGUGUAAUUGAAAGAUAAUCCUUAUAUAAUGCAGAAUAUUUCUAUACCCAGGAGUAUUCUGUUUGCCUAACAGUGUAUAUUUAAAUAGUACACAGAUUAAUUUUGAGAGGAAAAAAAAUAUCCAAUACAUCUAAAAAUAACAGAGUAAUGGAUGAGAUUCAAUACAUUUAAGUAAUAUAUUUACAUAAAGUACAUGAGAAACAGUACUCUGCUUAAUUUUAUCUAAUGUUCUCAUACAAUAGGUCAUUUUUUUCUUUAAUGUUUAAUUCAUCUUUUCUUUUCUCAUUUAAAAUGAAGUACUAUUUAACUUUUGUCCAUUUUUCCUUAGCAUCUAAGUAAAUCUCCAUCUUAGCGCAAUAAAUUUUAACUCUAUCCACAUGAAAUAUGAGCACUGUUUUAUAUAACCUAUAUAUGACAGGAAUACUUAUAAUGUUGAAUUUUAAUGUGUGGUUUGAAAUUUUACUUAGUCCAGUUGAAUGCUUGUAUUGGGAAUGUAUAAAUUCAUGUCUUCUUUCUUUCUCCCAUCUCAGACCUUCCCAGUCUUCUUUCUUUCUCCCAUCUCAGACCUUUUCCCAGUAUUUUGAUUUCUGUCAUUGUAGAAAGACAUGGAUCUGGAUUUAUUUAAGAAAUUUGGAACAGAAUCCAUCUUCUGUUCCAUUUUUCUCUAUAAAGGAUUAUCAGACCUAAAUAUACCACCAUAGAGAACAGAAUACCUGUUCCCUGGAAAAGCAUUGCCUAUAGUUUUUCCCUGUCUACACAUUUCAGGGAACUGCCUAGGGAAUAAUACAGUCUUUGUGAUUAUGUAUUGAUAGGUGCAGCAAUACGUAUGUAAAGGAUACUAACAGUAUCAGCAUUGCUAACAGGAACAGCUUUACAUAUGUAAAGGAUACACAUCAAUAGAGGCAUUGUGUGUGAAGGGAGUGGUGUUUUUUGUUUGUUCUUAAAUUUUGUAGCAUCACAUAAAAAACUUGUCCCAACAUUGCUUGCCUUUCCCUUUUGCUGUAAUGAUGGCAAUAUUUUCCUUGGUUAAACAUGCAUCCAAUAUAACUGCUGCUGAAGGAAGUCACAGUAAAUUAACAGCUGGCUUGUAAGCCUGAAGCUUUGAAGACAAAACCGCUCCUUCCUCUUUUCAAAAAGCUUUGAAAAUUUAGUUUCUCUUCAGUGACUUGAUCACAGUGAUUGAGAUAGGAUAAACUGAAAUAGAUGUGAGUUGGAUGGAGGAGAGGUUAAUGUCUACCAGCAUACACUGCUGAUUUCUGAACAAAAGAAGAACAUUUCACAUUGUAAUUCAUUUACAAAGUGCCAGAGUACAGGUAUUUGGUUGAGGAUAAACUAAAAUGUUAUCCUGAAAUUGUUGCUUCCCUCCACUAAAAACAAACAAACAACAACAUCCAUUUGUUAAUGAGUGCUAAUAAAUGCAAAUUUGGUGUCAUUCCCAUCCAUAAAUGAUUUACAAACUUCUAAAUAUAAUUCAUCAAGAAAACACACCUGCAUUGACUAUCAAGUCAGACUUUUAUUAAAUGAAGUAACUUAUGCUUCAUUCUAAUAGGUAGCAUGCCUGGAAGUAUUGAAAUGCGAAUUUAGUUCUAACAUAAUUUAACUCCUUUUUUGCACAAAUAUCUAGAAAAGCUUUAUGGCUAAGUAAUAUCAGAAUACAAACAAAAUAUGAAUAAUCUAAGUGUCCAAGAAUGCUAUGUGGCAGAGAUUGAAAAUUUAGAGUUUCUGUUUAAAAAAACAUUGCCCAAAUCUUUUUAAAGAAUAGCAUUUUUUAUUAUAAGGAGAAAAAAAAAAGAAUAAAAUUAAUAUAUCACUGAUUAUUAUAAAAAAAAAUAUUUCCUAGAUUAAAAUGAAAAAGUAGGUAUACAACAUUAUAAGCUACUACCACAAGACAAAUUCAAAUUAGCAGAGGAAUCUGACUUUGAAUUAUGCCACUUAGUAUAAAAUUGAAUGAGAACCUGAUGAGUAGAGGUCGGCCCCUGUGUUGCAUCAUUUUUCUCUGAUACUCAUGAAGAUCCAGAUAGUUUUUCAAGUAAUUAGCUAGAAAGAGGAGGUGUGUGAUGAAUCUCUCUCCAGCUUUGCCAGCUCCCAUGUUUGAAGUGCAAGUCUCAAAGUAAUUGCUCUUUUCCCCCCAAAGUUUCAGCUACUGGCAACUUGUGAAUAUGUAAGUAUAUUGGCUUAUUAUUUUUUAAUUAAAGAAUAUGCAUUCCUGGUUGUAGAGAAAAGCAUGGAUAUAUGACACUAGAACACCCUGAAGACUUAAAGAUGGAAGGUAAAUUCAAACCAAAUAGUUUAAAGAAACACAUUAUUUAUUUUUCUUUCAAUCUUACAGUUCUUUGGGAAUGGCUUAUUUUUUUCUAAGACACCUGGGACAGCAGAUAGUGCCAGCAUAUUGUUGAACUUAGUUAUUUUUUUUUGCCUGUUUUUGCUUAGUGUUGUGUCUCAUGAGAGCCUGCUUUCGUUCUUACGUCUACGCAUAUUCUGAUUUAUCAAGAGUCUGAGAACAAGAUGGCCUGGGCUAUCAUUAGUAUGUCUAUAUCCAGUUGCAAGUAAAGAAGAUGUGAUUGUUUUCCAUUUAUAUGACUGAAAUACAUGAUAAAAAGACAUGAGAUUAACUAAGACAGUAUCCCCGUAUAAAUAAUUUACUAUGUUUGGUUCAGUCAGAAGGCCUGAAAAAAGUGUUAUUUCCGUAGGCCUUUUGAAUUGUGAUGAGGCACUGUUCAUGCAGGCCAGCAGGCUAUGCAGAGUAUGUGCUACUAUUGACCAUUGGCUGUAAUUCAAGGACCUGAAGCCAGUGUUACUUUAUUGCGAUGAAAAUGAAAUCAAAUUCUCCUUGAAUUUCCUCAUGGUAAUCACGAUGUGAAUCUUUGUGAAAUGGCAGGCAGAUUAAAGAAGUACAUGCCAUACAUCAGGCAACAAGCAUAAAUGAUCUGUUGCCUGCAGCUGGAUGUUGUUGCAAGGGUUGAUUAGCAGAAGGGAGUGUGACUGUUCACAAUGUUUUGGUAUCCAUCUCAGCUGCCUGUUAGCCUGUUGAAGAUUUUUCAAGUUAAUAUUUAAAGGCCCAAGAGAAUUGCAUCCUAAGUGCAUUUUUGAGCUUCUGAUGCCCUGUAUUCCAUUUCAGUCUUGAUGGUCAGGAGAGAGAGAUUUGGGGGCUGAUGUCUUUUUGAAACAGAAUAAGCUAAGAGUGUGUGGUAUCUUGUCUGGAGUGCUGGGUGUGUGGAAUGUUUUCCUUCCAGAGUUACACAUAUACUUCCAGAGUAUAUUUAAAAUUUACUUUUUAUGUAAAACCGGAAAGCCUUGUGCAGAAACAUUCUUGCUGUAAUUAUUUCACUGUUAGUAGCUGUGAUUUAAAGUAAUGGACUAAGGAAGAAAGACCACUGUAAUGUUGUAAUUCUUACUAAAGAGUCAUGAACCUUAAAAAAAUUAAGUUGGCUUUUCAGCUUUCAGUGUUUUUGAGAAUAUUUAAGAGGCAAAUAUGCUUGCUAAUUGCUUAUUUUAAAUAAGAUAUUAAAUACUUCAGACAAGUAAGAUUUUCAUGCUCUUCACUUGUGAAAUGUACAGAGGGAAAGCUAUUAAACAUGCAGACUCUUUUCCUAAAAUUAUCUGUAUUACUAUAUUUGCAUUUCAUCUAGCUGUCAUAACAAGAUUAGUAAGUCUGAAUUCAUCCUCACAUCCAGUGAAAUUCUGACAGGUUUACUUACCUUGAGAAGGAUAUGAGAACAUAUCUGAGGUCCCACAGAAGAUACAGUGUGACUCAAACCACCUUUUUAUCUUGGAGGAAACAAUAUAAAAGCAAAGAAAUAUCCCUUGACAGAAAAGCUCUGUACCACUGGUAAAACGUUUACAUUAAGAUAUUUUUCAUUAGUGUUUUUUUUUUUUUUUUCUAAUGGAAAUAAAAGAACAUAUAAUGUAAAAAUGUAAGACCAUUUCGCAUCAAAAAAAUAGACUUCGUAGUAUUGGUUACAUGUGUUAGCACAUAAGACAUAUUACAUAUGUACAUAUUGUAUGACAUCUAUUUUACUGGAAAAGUAUGAUUUAUUUCAGUCUAUUUUUAAUCCAUUGUAUUUUCCCUAAUUUGCAGUUUCAACUUCAACAUACGUUCAUGCUUUGCAGUUCCACUAGUAUCUUGGCUUCCAAAGUUCUUUCAGGUAUUGUGGUAAGCUCAUGUCCCUGUUAAUUAACCUUAAAAAAGGACAAUUCCUUUAUGAUCACAGAAUGGUACUACAAAGUCUUUAUUCACCAUUGAUUUUAACUUUUAACUUUGUUUUAUAAAAUAGCAAAACAAUUUAGUUAGUCACAUUAAAGCAGGAAAUAACUGAAGUGGGAACUAUUUGUCCAGUAACUAAAUAUUAGUUGCUAACUCUUGCUAAUGAAUAAUGUGCUAGGCAAAUUAUUAUUGAUUUUAAUUCCAAUGUGUCUAUUUGCUUCUAUGAUAAUAUUCAAAUUCUUUACGGAACUGAAGGAUCAAAUCCACAAGUAUAGAAAAUAAUAGUCUAUAGGAGCAUAAUCCUUACCUAAAUAAUUUAAAUUUCUUUUCUCUACAAGGAAAAGUUAUUUUAACUCUUACUGUAAAUUAUGCUGGGGGUUGCUUUCUUUUUUUUAACCAUGCUUCUAUAAAGCAAAAUAAUAACUCAGGUUUUUGUUUUUGACCACAUAAACAAGAAAUAAUAAAGAUUAAGAUGAUAUUCAAAUUUUGUACAACUGACAAAAGCAUCUGAACUGACAAAAGCAAUAAGCAAUUAAGCUUGCUGCAAGCAACCAAAGUUUUACAUUUCUUCUUGAUGUUCUUUGAAACAUGUGACUGAAAACUCUGUAUCCAGAUGUGCUUCCCUACAGUAGUCAAUCUAAUCUUUCUUCAAUACAUUUUAUAAGAUUAUCUACUGACUUUUUACCAAAGGGACAUUGAAGGUGUUGAUUUUGUGUAGCAGCGUUCAAUGAUUUGUACUAUACAGGGUCUAUGUUCUCUCUAAAGUUCUCAAAAAUACUGCCUAUGGGUAUUUUUAAAAUGUCUCUGCUUUCGGAGGCAAGAAAUUCAUUAAGAAGAAUUGUAAAUGCACUACUAAGGCUAUGCAGUGAAAGAGAAGACUUUCAGCACAGGAUCUUUGAGCAGCUAGAUAGAUGGGAUACAAUAAAUAAAUAAAUAAAUAAAUAGAUAGAUAACAGUCCUCUUUCUAGUAAAAUGCUGCUGGGGGAGCGUGAUAGAGGAACCUCUCUGAUUUCUUUAACAAGUAAUACUAGAUUUUUUUUUGGAGGGGAAAGAAAAAAACCAACUCAAGUUUGUCACCUUUUUUGUUUACAGAGUAUGCGGACUUAAAACAACAAAAAAAACAACUAAGGUUAGACUAAUCUAGGAAUUUACAAGGGGUUGUUUGCUUCGCAAUGUGACAAGGGCUUAACUAACCCAAUUAUGGCUGCAGUUGCUUGAUAGUGCUAGUCUCAGUUAUAGUAGAUUAAAGUAACCCUAAUUAUGGCAUUUAAGCUAAAAGAGGAAAAGAAUGAUAUUUAACAUUAAACCUUAAUAUUUGUGGAAUGCAAAACAAUGUCAAAGAGUCACUCAACUCAUCUUAAUCUCCGCAGUGGUCUUACACAUAUGACUGUAUCUAUCUUGUUUCAGAUGCUCUCAAGAACCUUUGAAGCAACUGCAUGGUCUCUUUAAGCAACCUUCCCACAUGAAACUUAUUUCUCCAAUAGCCUUCCAAGUAUGAGAUGUACGUCCUUUGAUGACCGCUUUGUUGAAGAAUAGUUUAUGGUUUAUUACUAAUUGUGGAAACUCUUAAGAUAUAUUUGUCAUUUAUUAAAUUGAGAACUAUCUUGUUAAUAAUUCAUUCAAAGUUAUGGUGAGCAUGCAGUUCUUUACAAAAUUUAACCAGCUCUUAAUUCCAUACACCAAAAAUUGAGUAAUUUUAUGUAGAAAAUAAUUUCAGCAUUUUAUUUUUAAGUAUAGCUCAGUGGAUAUUCUAUUAAGUGGAUCUGAUCCCUGUCCUGAGAGGAUGAGAGAAGAAGGGUUAUCUUUUGAAGAAAAUAAGAAUAGAGGCCAGGCCUGCAUGAGAUAUGUUCUUCAGAUCACAAAAUGGAUAAUUUUGAUUGGAACAGUUUUUAAUGCUAAAUCAUAGUCUACUAUAUUCACUGAAUGCUGUUAUGCAGGUUAAGUUGCAUCUGUGUAGAUCAUUUAUCAAAAACUUCAGACAAGAGUCUUGAUUUAUGUAAAACAAAACAAAAUAGCCAACCCCCCACCAAAAUUAUUCUAUGUGUAAUACAUGUCUUCUGGUAUUAGUAAACUUUAAAAUGAUCAUCGAAUUCAUUCCACCAGCUGUGUCCUUCCCAAAAAUGCUGAGCAGAACUGAAGAGUGCUAAUAAAUCAAGUAGAUAUAUGCAUCAUUAAUCCAUACAGAUCAUCAAUCCUUGAAAUGUAAAUUCCAGAAAGAGACCUGCAUUUUCAAAGAUGUAUACAGCUUCUGCCAACUGGUAUUUCUGCAUUCAACUCACUUAGAGAUUAGCUGUGAACUUCAGAGAAGAGAAAGACUUGAUGCCUGCAAGCAUAAAUAUAGAAAGACGUUAGCCUAUGAAAUUGAAUGUGAUAUACAGAUAUGUGAAGUCUUCAGUUACUAGCAACUACCUGAAAUCUUUGUUAAAGUACACAUUGAUUGGAAAUUAGAUUCAUUAAAAAAAAAAAAAGACAAAACCCAACCUUAUUCAAUACUAUUAAAAGGAAUAGUCAUUGUAAAGAAGAAAAACAUGAAAAAUAUAGCAAGUGUUGGAAUGUGUAAGAAACAGACAGAGAUGCUGAAAGAAAAACUACAAUCUAUGAUAUAAACUACUGGUGUGCUGCUAUCCUCAGUCCUGUAUUUCUGUAUUAAUUUCAGUGGACUGGAUUUUUUUUCCAACACUGAGAUUGAACUGGACAAAGGGAAUCUGGAUUUUAUUAUCAGAUAAAAAUGUUGUGGCCACAGAACACAAAGUGCUGGUCCAAUAUAAAAUCACCCUGCUGAUUCAGAAUUGUCCAGAUUUUUUUUCUGGGUUAAGUUUUAAUUUGACAAAUGACAAAUAAGGUAUUGGAUUAUGCAACUGUAAUUAUUACAGUUCACCUAUCUCCUGCCCUUGUAGAAAUGGUAUGAGACCAGUGUGAACAUCCUGGUCCUUGGCUAAUUUGAAAGAAAUGCAUUCAUAUUUCCACACCUGAUUCAGAUCAACUUUGUACUUCUGAGUAGUGCCCAGACCUGAUCAAUAUUAGUGAUUAAGAAGCCACAACCUCAGAAAAAGUGGAAGAAAUAAAUAACACUUUUUUUUAAUCCGUGGAAACCAUAAAUUUGCUUAAUAAUCAUAUUUCAGAAAGAUAAUUUCAAAGGUUAAUUAUAUUGUAAUGAAAAGUUAACAAAAAUUUCUGUCAAAUAUACAAGUAGCAGAAGAAUAAAAUUUGCUGUACUAUUUUUAACAUUUUACGGUUCUUGAAGAAAUAUUUGAUGAAAGCUCUUUCCAUGUAAUCUGGCUUGGUUUGAUUCUGUCCAGCUUCAGUGGAAGGAGACUUCUAUCUGCUUAACAUCUUAGUAGCCCCCUAAUAAAACAGUUAGAAACCUAAAAAUUAGUGGUGCGAUAGAUCCAUACCUUUUAGCCCAUAAAGUGGAAGACUGAAUCCAACAUUGGGAACAUAUCCUGUAGGCUGCACAGUGGCUUAAAUAGAAGAACACAGAUAUUCUGGAUCUUCAACAGGAUUAGGUGGAAUCUGAUGCUGAGAUGCUUAGAGUGGGCCCACACUACAGCUCACCAGUCCUGAGAAGCUUAAAGAGUAAUGCACCUAAAGAAUGCUUCUUCAAGGGCGUGCACCAGGAUUUCUGGAUUGGAAGAAGAAGGAGAAGGAGGAACAGGAGAAGAAAAAAUAGGAAGAGAAGGAAAAGAAGGAGGAGGAGAACAACCACCACCACAUUUUUUUCCUUGACCACAGGUGACCAAUGAGGGACACUAAGCUUACAGCAACUUUUAUUUCCUUGGGGGAGUACUGAGGCUAAGCAGAACGUUUGAAUUGUUUACCAGAUUUUAAAGUCUUGACCAAUAUGUGCUUGCUUUGAUUUUUUUGAUUCUCUUCCUCCCAUUUAUACCAUAUCCAAUAUGGCAUUAAUAAUCAUUCCAAAGGAUUUUUGAAUGUCAGUGCCUUUCCUCAGAUUCCCUGAUGGAAUACCAUAUACCCAAUGGUACUGGAUGGUUACAUAUCCAUUUGGUUUCCAGUGAACUCUGUAGCAUAUGAAUAAAAGCUGUUUACUCAGAUCUGUAUCAAAACACAGACUAA